rnacentral:rRNA from 1 species
GACAGAGGUCUCGAGCGUUAGGCGGAAUCACUGGGCUUAAAGCGUGUGUAGGCGGAUCGUUAAGUACCUUGUGAAAUCCCACGGCUCAACCGUGGAACGGCUGGGUAUACUGGCGGUCUUGGGCCAUUCAGGGGCGACUGGAACAAGCGGUGGAGCGGUGAAAUGCGUAGAUAUCGCUUGGAACGCCGAAGGUGAAAACAGGUCGCUGGGGAUGUGCCGACGCUGAGACACGAAAGCCAGGGGAGCAAACGGG